UUGGAAUUUCGGGGUUGGUAGGUUGGUCAUGCCUCUGGUAUGGUACUGGUCUCACUGAUUCCUCCUUCCUGAUGAACCUUAAUGCCAUUAAGUUGGUGUUUGGGGAAUUUGGACUGUUACUUUGAAAAAAUUAGAGUGUUUAAAGCAAGCUAACGCUUGAAUACAUUAGCAUGGAAUAACGAAAUAGGACGUUCGAUCCUAUUUUGUUGGUUUCUAGGAUUGACGUAAUGAUUAAUAGGGAUAGUUGGGGGCAUUAGUAUUCAAUUGUCAGAGGUGAAAUUCUUGGAUUUAUUGAAGACUAACUACUGCGAAAGCAUUUGCCAAGGAUGUUUUCAUUAAUCAAGAACGAAAGUUAGGGGAUCGAAGACGAUCAGAUACCGUCGUAGUCUUAACCAUAAACUAUGCCGACUAGGGAUCGGAUGAUGUUAAUUUUUAAAUGACUC
rnacentral:rRNA from 1 species